ACGCCGAAAGAUGAGCCCGCACUUGAUUAGUUUGUUGGUGAGGUAAUGGCUCACCAAGACAAUUAUCAAUAGCUGGUCUGAGAGGACGAUCAGCCACAUUGGGACUGAGACACGGCCCAGACUCCUACGGGAGGCAGCAGUAAGGAAUCUUGCACAAUGGGGGAAACCCUGAUGCAGCGAUGCCGCGUGAGUGAAGAAGGCCCUUGGGUUGUAAAACUCUUUCGUCGGGGAAGAAAAUGACUGUACCCGAAUAAGAAGUCCGGCUAACUUCG
rnacentral:rRNA from 1 species